AUGUGUCUGUUUCUCCUUGGAGUUCUAUGAGUCCUCAUGUAUUUUGAGGCUCUGUUAUUAAGUUCAUAAACCUUUAGGAAGGAUUGUUUUUGGAUGGGCUAAGAUAUUAUUCGCUAUUUUAAAUGUUGGACCAUCUCUUGUUCCAAACAUGCCCAUGGGUGAGCAGAAUUGAACAGCACGAACUGUAUGCAAGACUAUUUAUCACUGCGUAACUAGGACAUGCCUCUCCACUACUCACAAAUCAUGUUGCCCAACUUUUUCAAAACCCUUUUGGCUCUCACUUUAAUUAUCAUGUUUAAUCUCUUGAGGUACUGAUACCUGAAAACAGAUGUCAUUAAUUUCCCUUAUAAUCUUGACCUCCCUAUUGUUACUGAAAGUACUACCAUUCUUAGGGAGGUGUAGGUGAUGCAUUCCUCUCUCUACAUUCUAUGACACUGCAACUACGUAUUUAAUACAAAGCAGCCUUUGGGGGCGGGGCGGGGCGGUUAACAAAAUGCAUCUCAGCACCAGCCUAGAGAAACUUUUCUGUGUGUAAACAGAAGAGGGGUUACCAUGGAGAAAUUCAUUACGGAUUUCGGGAGGGCUUUUUCCUCAGAAAUAGAGUGAAAAGAAUAAGUCGUUGUGUAAUAAAUCUGAUACUGACGCUGUGUGACUUAGAAGUUGGUCCAAAAGUUCAUCUUAGGCACUUAUGCCUAGAUGAUCAACUACACAUCUUCUGCAACAGGUGACACGAACCUG
rnacentral:lncRNA from 1 species